rnacentral:rRNA from 1 species
UACGUAGGGUGCGAGCGUUGUCCGGAAUUAUUGGGCGUAAAGAGCGUGUAGGCGGCCAGGUAGGUCGGUUGUGAAAACUGGAGGCUCAACCUUCAGAGGUCGACCGAAACCAUCUGGCUAGAGUCCGGGAGAGGAGAGUGGAAUUCCAGGUGUAGCGGUGAAAUGCGUAGAAUAUCUGGAGGAACACCGGUGGCGAAGGCGACAUCCCUGGACCGGGUAU